rnacentral:rRNA from 1 species
UACGAAGGGGCUAGCGUUGCUCGGAAUCACUGGGCGUAAAGCGCACGUAGGCGGCUUCUUAAGUCAGGGGUGAAAUCCUGGAGCUCAACUCCAGAACUGCCUUUGAUACUGAGAAGCUUGAGUCCGGGAGAGGUGAGUGGAACUGCGAGUGUAGAGGUGAAAUUCGUAGAUAUUCGCAAGAACACCAGUGGCGAAGGCGGACUCACUGGUCCGGUACUGGACGCUGAGGUGCGAAAGCGUGGGGAGCAAACAGGG